UAUUUAGGUUUUGGAUCAAACAAGUCGAUCGAUUGUUGUCGUUGAUUCGGCGAAUUUAUGGUUUGGUAGAUUUUUUCUAGUUUGGCAACUUUGUUCGUGGUUCUUGUGUCAGACUGACAGCUGGCUGAGCUGAGAGACAGGUUAUGGAAAGUGGGGACGUCGCGAGAGCGCCGGAGACUCCACUGCCGUAACAAUAAUGUGGGCAAAUUAAAAGCCACGAUUUAUCGGCGACAUCAAGAGCCGAUGUCUCGAUUUAAACAAAUAACUUAACCGAGAUGCAACAUCACUGAAAUCCCAUCGCCGAAGGUCCAGUGGGUGGGUUUAGGUUUCAUCCGAGCGAUGCCCAACUAUCCCGGAUGAACCUAUGGGGUUUUUUUUUCUUUAAGUUUUAAUGUUUUAACGUUUUUGCAAGUUUAAUUUUCUAACGUUUUGCAAGUUUUAAUCUAAGAAGAAGUUUAUGAUUGGAUCAGACUAUUUCAACAAAUUUUGUGAAUGAAGAUUGCUACUGUUUUCUUCUGCGUUUGCAAGUUAUUUCAAGCUUCAUUUCGGCGGAGCUUGCCUUGGUUGUUUGCACGUCGAAGCUUCCCUUUGUGCGGCGCGCAUGUGGAUGUGCCGCGCCUCUCCUUUUGUCAACACACCGGAUAAGGCCCGGUGAAGGACUGCGAGGUUGACCGGUGGACGUGCAGUCCGCCAGCUGCGUAACAGUUGGCCCGCUGCGCCGCCAUCGUCCAGCACGCCUGGCCUGAGCCGGCCUCAACGCAUCACCUGUAUGGUAUUCCGGAACGCCUCAGGUAGGCCUGAUAGUCGGAGGUCCUCGAGUAAGUGAGGUGCCUACAGGUGUACGGACAGUGUUUUAAAUAUAGUGCUAUCUUAUGGUCAUGUCACAGAGAGACACUUUACCUAACGGCCCAUUUCUUUUUUAUGGAAUACCAUUAUAGCAAAGUUGUUUCAGUGGCGCCCUUCUUGGUGAAAUUGUCGCUCUGUACAACCAUUUUAGAAUAUAAGUGGUGUUGGCAUAAACUUUAAGAAUAAAUUUUGUGAAAACAGUGUAUUUUUUUUUUUAAUAUUAAAAGUGAUGGGAUUUUGUGUGAAUUGUUUGUGUUUUGUUUGCAUCUUAGGUUAAGUUGUGUUUGUCUUAGUAUAAGUAAGGUUCUAGGCCUCAUACAGAGACCUAACUUAAAUACUUUUUUUUUGUACAAUAAGUUUUAAACCCA
rnacentral:lncRNA from 1 species